rnacentral:misc_RNA from 1 species
AACAAGGCGUACCUGCGGACCUGCGGAGGGAUCAUUACAGAGUUCGUGCCCUCGCGGGUAGAUCUCCCACCCUUGUGUAUUCCUUACAUUUUGUUGCUUUGGCAGGCCGUUGGUUCGCCAACCACCGGCUCUACGGGCUGGUGCGUGCCUGCCAGAGGACCCCCCAAACUCGGUUUGUUAGUGUCGUCUGAGUAACCAUAACAAUCGUUAAAACUUUUAGCAAUGGAUCUCAGAUCGGAA